GAAUUCGCCCUUAGAGUUUGAUCCUGGCUCAGGACGAACGCUGGCGGCGCGCCUAACACAUGCAAGUCGAACGAGCGAGAGAGAGCUUGCUUUCUCGAGCGAGUGGCGAACGGGUGAGUAACGCGUGAGGAACCUGCCUCAAAGAGGGGGACAACAGUUGGAAACGACUGCUAAUACCGCAUAAGCCCACGGCUCGGCAUCGAGCAGAGGGAAAAGGAGCAAUCCGCUUUGAGAUGGCCUCGCGUCCGAUUAGCUAGUUGGUGAGGUAACGGCCCACCAAGGCGACGAUCGGUAGCCGGACUGAGAGGUUGAACGGCCACAUUGGGACUGAGACACGGCCCAGACUCCUACGGGAGGCAGCAGUGGGGAAUAUUGCACAAUGGGGGAAACCCUGAUGCAGCGACGCCGCGUGGAGGAAGAAGGUCUUCGGAUUGUAAACUCCUGUUGUUGGGGAAGAUAAUGACGGUACCCAACAAGGAAGUGACGGCUAACUACGUGCCAGCAGCCGCGGUAAAACGUAGGUCACAAGCGUUGUCCGGAAUUACUGGGUGUAAAGGGAGCGCAGACGGGAAGACAAGUUGGAAGUGAAAUCUAUGGGCUCAACCCAUAAACUGCUUUCAAAACUGUUUUUCUUGAGUAGUGCAGAGGUAGGCGGAAUUCCCGGUGUAGCGGUGGAAUGCGUAGAUAUCGGGAGGAACACCAGUGGCGAAGGCGGCCUACUGGGCACCAACUGACGCUGAGGCUCGAAAGUGUGGGUAGCAAACAGGAUUAGAUACCCUGGUAGUCCACACCGUAAACGAUGA
rnacentral:rRNA from 1 species